UCUCUAACCAGCACUCCUGUGUGUCACUCAUUUAUUACAAAUGUAAUGACUAGUGAGUGUAGCAUUCAUUACUGGGCACUGUGUUACCCUCCACAUCAUCCAGUCAGUAGAGGGUUCCUCUAAUCCUCAGAGUCCAGGAAAAGGAAAGGUGUCUCGAGAGAGCUGACAGCUAGGUCUCUGAAAGCAAGCAAAGUACACGCUCUCUUCCUGACGCGAGUGUUAAUGGGAGUAACAUACAUGGACUGUGAAACAAAUAUAAGUCAGACUGUAAAUGUUGGCAGUUGAUGAGAAUUAUGAAGCAAGUCCUAGUGAGUGUUCAACGGUGCCUUUCCUUGGAUAUUUAGAGCAAAAUCUUGUCCUGUCAUUUGAAGCCAGGUGUGGACUGAGUGAAUAUGAAAUCUACAAGAAGAAAUCUACAGGAAGAAACAAACAAGGGGGUGUCCUGUAUAUGAAUAAAGACAAAGGACAUGUCUGCAGUUUCUUGGAGUGCAAUGAGUCACAAUGAAUUCUUCACUUAGAAGGCAAACCGACAGCGAGUUUGUCUCAGGAAAGGAGAAUCACAGCCAGCCUGACCGAAAAGCGCUGCAAGAAUUUUGGGUGAGCAACACUGUACA